rnacentral:rRNA from 1 species
UUUAGGCGCCGCCCAAGGGAUGGGACCGCAUCCUAUCAGGUAGUUGGUGGGGUAACGGCCCACCAAGCCUAUAACGGGUACGGGCCCUGAGAGGGGGAGCCCGGAGAUGGGUACUGAGACAAGGACCCAGGCCCUACGGGGCGCAGCAGGCGCGAAACCUCCGCAAUGCGCGAAAGCGCGACGGGGCCACCCCGAGUGCCAUCCGCUGAGGGNNNNNNUUCCCUAGUGUAGUNNNCUAGGGGAAUAAGCGGGGGGCAAGUCUGGUGUCAGCCGCCGCGGUAAUACCAGCUCCGCGAGUGGUCGGGACGAUUAUUGGGCCUAAAGCGUCCGUAGCCGGCCUAACAAGUCUCUGGUUAAAUCUCAAGGCUUAACCUUGAGAUCGCUGGAGAUACUGUUAGGCUAGGGGGCGGGAG